ACACCUCACUACUACAACUUUAUUGUUAUAAUAGUGGACUUGGAAUGCGCUGGUGUCAAUCAGCCCUUCUAAAAUGGAGUUCUUGCACUGUUGAUUUGUUUUAACAGCAUGUUGGCCUAAUAAGUUUCGGCAGUAAUGUUGAAAUCACUGGCUUUUUUGCUUAGAAUCUGACAGUCUUGAUAUACAGAAUUUUUGAGGUGACUUGUCUCCUCUUCAAA
rnacentral:misc_RNA from 1 species